rnacentral:piRNA from 1 species
AGCCUGAGGCCAGAACUAACACAGAAUCAC